rnacentral:rRNA from 1 species
GUUUUUAAGUCAGGUGUGAAAUCCCUCGGCUCAACCGAGGAACUGCACUUGAAACUGGAGAUCUUGAGUGUCGGAGGGGGAAGCGGAAUUCCUAGUGUAGCGGUGAAAUGCGUAGAUAUUAGGAGGAACACCAGUGGCGAAGGCGGCUUUCUGGACGAUAACUGACGCUGAGGCGCGAAAGCGUGGGGAGCAAACAGAAUUAGAUACCCUGGUAGUCCACGCCGUAAACGAUGGAUACUAGGUGUAGGAGGUAUCGACCCCUUCUGUGCCGCAGUUAACACAAUAAGUAUCCCACCUGGGGAGUACGACCGCAAGGUUGAAACUCAAAGGAAUUGACGGGGGCCCGCACAAGCAGUGGAGUAUGUGGUUUAAUUCGAAGCAACGCGAAGAACCUUACCAGGACUUGACAUCCCUCUGACCGCUCUAGAGAUAGAGCUUUCCUUCGGGACAGGGGUGACAGGUGGUGCAUGGUUGUCGUCAGCUCGUGUCGUGAGAUGUUGGGUUAAGUCCCGCAACGAGCGCAACCCCUAUUGCCGGUUGCCAUCAUUAAGUUGGGCACUCCGGCGAGACUGCCGGCGACAAGUCGGAGGAAGGCGGGGAUGACGUCAAAUCAUCAUGCCCCUUGUGUCCUGGGCUACACACGUACUACAAUGGCCGUAACAACGAGGAGCAAUACCGCGAGGUGGAGCAAAUCUCCAAAUACGGUCUCAGUUCAGAUUGCAGGCUGCAACUCGCCUGCAUGAAGUCAGAAUUG